GGGGGUGAAGGGCAUCGAUGGAAGGUUCUUUGUAAAUCGUGCGCGCCGAAGAGUCUGUCUUCGUAAAAACAGGCACCAUAUAAGUGCAAACUUAUAUUCAAAAGCUAAGAAUGCGGUGGCUUCGCUUUUCGGCGGAGUCGGGCCGGUCUUUGCUACUUCCUUCGCCUAACAGCGGAGGACAUCCGUCCGUGUGAUGCUCGCUAGUGCGGAGCCGGGUGUUACUUUAGCGAGCUGACAUCACGAAUGUCCGCGGCGUGAUGUGGCCUAAGCGGAAUAGAUCGCAGAAGAUUUUUGCUUAUUUUCUAUCUUCCGCGACCACAAUACCAAAUCAGCUACGCGCGUAGAGUCGGUUCACAUCGCCUACCAGACGGGAGUUCAACUCUCCCCACUUCCACAA
rnacentral:tmRNA from 1 species